AUCUCAUUCCUUUGCUCCAAAGAAAAUCUCAGCCCUAGCCCUCGCUGUUGCGCGUGCACGCACCGUGGAGCAAUGUCCCAUUACUGUUUAACUGUAGUUUAAGGGGUAGGAGGGAGGGCUAACAUCCCCUCAAAAUUGAGAUUUUCGAUGGGCACCCUCAAAGCGCUUCAGUUGUGACUUGCUCCCACAAUACCUUGCGAGAAAACGGAAAAUCAAGAAAUAUCCUAGACAAGAUGGAGGACAAAAAGAUGCGACAGGAUUGGAAAAACACAAAUGACUUCGUUGAGUCCACUGCCACCAGCCCCCCCCCCCACCUCUCCCUCAUGCUCCUCCACCCCAGGCACCUCUUCCACCACCCCAGACACCCCUUCCAAGAGGAGAGUGCCAGGGGGCAGGCGAGGCAUGAGGAGAGCGAGGCAAAGUUGGCGAAAUGGUGGAGAAGAUGUGAUUCUCCACCAUUCUCUCAAAAGCUGAGAGAGAGAGUGUGUGUGUGUGUGUGUGUGUGUGUGUGUGUGUGUGUGUGUGUGUGUGUGUGUGUGUGUGUGUGUGUGUGUGUGUGUGUGUGUGUGUGUGUGUGUGUGUGUAU